CCAGACUCCUACGGGAGGCAGCAGUGGGGAAUAUUGCACAAUGGGGGGAACCCUGAUGCAGCGACGCCGCGUGAGUGAAGAAGUAUUUCGGUAUGUAAAGCUCUAUCAGCAGGGAAGAAGAUGACGGUACCUGACUAAGAAGCCCCGGCUAACUACGUGCCAGCAGCCGCGGUAAUACGUAGGGGGCAAGCGUUAUCCGGAUUUACUGGGUGUAAAGGGAGCGUAGACGGCAGGGCAAGUCUGGAGUGAAAGCCCGGGGCCCAACCCCGGGACUGCUUUGGAAACUGCCAUGCUGGAGUGCUGGAGAGGUAAGCGGAAUUCCUAGUGUAGCGGUGAAAUGCGUAGAUAUUAGGAGGAACACCGGCGGCGAAGGCGGCCUGCUGGACCGAAACUGACGUUGAGGCUCGAAAGCGUGGGGAGCAAACAGGAUUAGAUACCCUAGUA
rnacentral:rRNA from 1 species